rnacentral:rRNA from 1 species
CCUACGGGGGGCUGCAGUGGGGAAUAUUGCGCAAUGGGCGAAAGCCUGACGCAGCGACGCCGCGUGAGGGAUGAAGGCCUUCGGGUCGUAAACCUCUUUCAGCAGGGAAGCGGUACCUGCAGAAGAAGCACCGGCUAACUACGUGCCAGCAGCCGCGGUAAUACGUAGGGUGCAAGCGUUGUCCGGAAUUAUUGGGCGUAAAGAGCUCGUAGGCGGUCUGUCGCGUCUGGUGUGAAAACUCAGGGCUUAACCCUGAGCUUGCAUCGGGUACGGGCAGACUAGAGUGUGCUAGGGGAGACUGGAAUUCCUGGUGUAGCGGUGAAAUGCGCAGAUAUCAGGAGGAACACCGGUGGCGAAGGCGGGUCUCUGGGGAUACUGACGCUGAGGAGCGAAAGCAUGGGGAGCGAACAGGAUUAGAUACCCUUGUAGUC